rnacentral:rRNA from 1 species
CCUACGGGCGGCAGCAGUGGGGAAUAUUGGACAAUGGGGGCAACCCUGAUCCAGCCAUGCCGCGUGUGUGAAGAAGGCCCUCGGGUUGUAAAGCACUUUCAGUGAGGAAGAACGCCUGGUGGUUAAUACCCAUCAGGAAAGACAUCACUCACAGAAGAAGCACCGGCUAACUCCGUGCCAGCAGCCGCGGUAAUACGGAGGGUGCGAGCGUUAAUCGGAAUUACUGGGCGUAAAGCGCGCGUAGGUGGCUUGAUAAGCCGGGUGUGAAAGCCCCGGGCUCAACCUGGGAACGGCAUCCGGAACUGUCAAGCUAGAGUGCAGGAGAGGAAGGUAGAAUUCCCGGUGUAGCGGUGAAAUGCGUAGAGAUCGGGAGGAAUACCAGUGGCGAAGGCGGCCUUCUGGACUGACACUGACACUGAGGUGCGAAAGCGUGGGUAGCAAACAGGAUUAGAUACCCUGGUAGUC